UCGAGGAUCUUCGGCAAUGGACGCAAGUCUGACCGAGCGACGCCGCGUGCGGGAUGAAGGCUUUCGGGUUGUAAACCGCUGUCAGUGGGGAGGAAAGCCGAAAGGUCUGACCUAUCCCUGGAGGAAGCACGGGCUAAGUUCGUUCUUCACGGAGCCUUCCUC
rnacentral:rRNA from 1 species